rnacentral:rRNA from 1 species
GUGAACCUUUACUAUAGCUUGACACUGAACAUUGAGCCUUGAUGUGUAGGAUAGGUGGGAGGCUUUGAAGUGUGGACGCCAGUCUGCAUGGAGCCGACCUUGAAAUACCACCCUUUAAUGUUUGAUGUUCUAACGUGGGCCCGUAAUCCGGGUUGCGGACAGUGUCUGGUGGGUAGUUUGACUGGGGCGGUCUCCUCCUAAAGAGUAACGGAGGAGCACGAAGGUUGGCUAAUCCUGGUCGGACAUCAGGAGGUUAGUGCAAUGGCAUAAGCCAGCUUGACUGCGAGCGUGACGGCGCGAGCAGGUGCGAAAGCAGGUCAUAGUGAUCCGGUGGUUCUGAAUGGAAGGGCCAUCGCUCAACGGAUAAAAGGUACUCCGGGGAUAACAGGCUGAUACCGCCCAAGAGUUCAUAUCGACGGCGGUGUUUGGCACCUCGAUGUCGGCUCAUCACAUCCUGGGGCUGAAGUAGGUCCCAAGGGUAUGGCUGUUCGCCAUUUAAAGUGGUACGCGAGCUGGGUUUAGAACGUCGUGAGACAGUUCGGUCCCUAUCUGCCGUGGGCGCUGGAGAACUGAGGGGGGCUGCUCCUAGUACGAGAGGACCGGAGUGGACGCAUCACUGGUGUUCGGGUUGUCAUGCCAAUGGCACUGCCCGGUAGCUAAAUGCGGAAGAGAUAAGUGCUGAAAGCAUCUAAGCACGAAACUUGCCCCGAGAUGAGUUCUCCCUGACCCUUUAAGGGUCCUGAAGGAACGUUGAAGACGACGACGUUGAUAGGCCGGGUGUGUAAGCGCAGCGAUGCGUUGAGCUAACCGGUACUAAUGAACCGUGAGGCUUAACCUUACAACGCCGAAG